CUGACUGUAGCUCGCUGGUGGGGCAUCUGCCUUGCAAGCUGAAGGUCCCAGGUUCAAUCCCUGGCACCUCAGUGUAGA